rnacentral:rRNA from 8 species
GACUCUCGGCAACGGAUAUCUCGGCUCUCGCAUCGAUGAAGAACGUAGCGAAAUGCGAUACUUGGUGUGAAUUGCAGAAUCCCGCGAACCAUCGAGUCUUUGAACGCAAGUUGCGCCCGAGGCCCCCCGGCCGAGGGCACGCCUGCCUGGGCGUCA